GCUAGCGUAGCUUAGUUUAAAGCAUAACCUUGAAGAUGUUAAGAUGGACCCUAAAAAGUCCCGCAGGCA
rnacentral:tRNA from 1 species